rnacentral:rRNA from 1 species
GAGGAGAUAUUCAUCAUCUAAGAUGAAGAGAGAAGAAAAUCUUUUUUUUUCCCUCAUACAUUUUAGUAUGAUGUAAAAAAUAAUAUCGAAUCCUUAUUUCUGGGGAGAUGAAGUUGCUUUGAAGGGAAAAAUUUUGAAGCCGCUUUGAAGAACCAGGACGAUUACCUUGAGGAAAAUAGAGUGUUCAAAGCAGGCGGUCAUGAAGAUGAAAUUGCUUGAAUACGUUAGCAUGGAAUAAUAAAAUGAAGACGUUUGUUCUACAUUUUAUUGGUUUUUAAGGACAAAUGUC